AUUGAACGCUGGCGGCAUGCCUAACACAUGCAAGUCGAACGGUAACGCGAGGAGCUUGCUCCUUGGCGACGAGUGGCGGACGGGUGAGUAAUGCUUAGGAAUCUGCCCAUGUAGUGGGGGACAACACGGGGAAACUCGUGCUAAUACCGCAUACGCCCUACGGGGGAAAGCGGGGGAUCUUCGGACCUCGCGCUAUUGGAUGAGCCUAAGUCGGAUUAGCUUGUUGGUAGGGUAAAGGCCUACCAAGGCGACGAUCCGUAGCUGGUCUGAGAGGACGAUCAGCCACACUGGGACUGAGACACGGCCCAGACUCCUACGGGAGGCAGCAGUGGGGAAUAUUGGACAAUGGGGGCAACCCUGAUCCAGCAAUGCCGCGUGUGUGAAGAAGGCCUGCGGGUUGUAAAGCACUUUCAGUAGAGAAGAAAAGCUUAGGGUUAAUACCCUUGAGUCUUGACGUAACCUACAGAAGAAGCACCGGCUAACUCCGUG
rnacentral:rRNA from 1 species